AGAUGGAUUUUGAUACACGAAUCCAGACCCUACGGGGUGCAGCGGGCGCGAAAACUUGGCAAUGCGAGCAAUCGUGACCAGGGAACUCCAAGUGCGUAGGGUAAGACCUACGCUUUUCUUGACUCUUCAAAGGUCUUGGAAUAAGGGGUGGGUAAGUACGGUGCCAUCCGCCGCGGUAAUACCGGCGCCUCAAGUGGUAGUCGCUUUUAUUGGGCCUAAAACGUCCGUAGCCGGUCUGGUACAUUCGUGGGUAAAUCAACCCGCUCAACGGGUUGAAUUCUGCGAGCACGGCCAGACUUGGGACCGGGAGAGGUGUGGGGUACUCUCAGGGUAGGGGUAAAAUCCUGUCAUCCUGAGAGGACCACCUGUUGCGAAGGCGCCACACUAGAACGGAUCCGACGGUCAGGGACGAAACCUAGGGGCACGAACCGGAUUAGAUACCCGGGUAGUCCUAGGUGUAAACGCUGUGGACUUGAUGUUGGGGGCGCUCCGAGCGCUCUCAGUGUCGAAGCGAAGGUGAUAAGUCCACUGCCUGGGGAGUACGGUCGCAAGGCUGAAACUCAAAUGAAUUGACGGAAUCACUAGU
rnacentral:rRNA from 1 species